rnacentral:pre_miRNA from 1 species
CAUGUACUCCCUCCGUUCCGAAUUACUUGUCUUGGAUUUGUCUAGAUACGGAUGUAUCUAGACUUAUUUUAGUGCUAGAUACAUCCGUAUCUAGACAAAUCUAAGACAAGUAAUUCGGAACGGAGGGAGUAUUUG